rnacentral:misc_RNA from 1 species
CGGCAGUUGAAUCGACGCCUCAGUCUGGUGUGAAGAAGCAAAGUUCGAGAGUUAGCAGAUCUCUGACGCCGAAUGCUCCGAAGAAGGGGAGGGAUGGUGAGAAUGUUGGAGUCUUGGCCCGAACGGUCAACCGUGGUGGUCUCAAGCAAGUUUCGCACCGGCGUUCUUUUUCUGUUAGUGGUUCGUGUGCGAAUGUUAAGGAUUGUAAUGGAGUUAAGAGUGGAUUGCAGGAGAAGCUUUGUUUUGCGGAGGAUUUGAUUAAAGAUUUGCAGUCUCAAUUGGUGGUGUUGAAGGAGGAGUUGCAGAAGUCUCAGAGCAUGAACCUGGAACUUCAAUCGCAGAACGAUUUGCUCGUUCGUGACCUAGCCGCUGCUGAAGCGAAGUUCGCUAAUGUUAGUAAUAACGACCAGAGGGAGUCAGCUGCAGAGGACUCGCAACGAAACGCCGAGGACAAUCGGAAACUCGAG